rnacentral:rRNA from 1 species
UGGCGGCGUGUCUUACCAUGCAGUCGAGCGGACUUAUGGGGUAACUUAUAAGUCAGCGGCGGACGGCGGAGUAACACGUAGCUAACUACCCCUCUGGACGGGGAUAACCUACCGAAAGGUGGGCUAAUACCCGAUGUAGUCAUCCUGUAUAGGGGUGAUGAAAGGUGGGCUUCUGUUUACAAGCUCAUGCUGGAGGAGGGGGCUGCGGCCUAUCAGGUAGUUGGUAGGGUAAUAGCCUACCAAGCCGAUGACGGGUAGCCGGCCUGAGAGGGUGACCGGCCCGAGGGGCACUGAGAUACGGGUCCCACUCCUACGGGAGGCAGCAGGCUAGAAAUUUGGGCAAUGGGGGAAACCCUGACCCAGUGACGCCGCGUGCAGGAAGGAGCCCUUCGGGGUGUAAACUGCUGUCGUGUAGGGAGAAGGGUACUAAGGUGAACAAUCUUAGUACUUGACGGUACUACAGGAGGAAGCCCAGGCUAACCUCGUGCCAGCAGCCGCGGUAAUACGGGGUGGGCGAGCGUUGCCCGGAAUUACUGGGUUUAAAGGGGGUGUAGGCGGUCUGGAUAGUCGGGUGUGUAAUGCAAUCGCUCAACGAUUGAGCUGCAUCUGAUACUUCCAGGCUAGAGGGCGGUAGAGGAGAGCGGAACUCCCGGUGUAGCGGUGAAAUGCGUAGAUAUCGGGAGGAACGCCGGUGGCGAAGGCGGCUCUCUGGGCCGUUCCUGACGCUGAGGCCCGAAAGCUGGGGGAGCGAAAGGGAUUAGAUACCCCGGUAGUCCUAGCCGUAAACGAUGGACACUGGAUAUUCCGGCAUUUCUGCUGGAGUGUCGUAGCUAACGCGUUAAGUGUCCCGCCUGGGGAGUACGAUCGCAAGGUUGAAACUCGAAGGAAUUGACGGGGGCCCGCACAAGCGGUGGAGCAUGUGGUUUAAUUCGACGCUACGCGAAGAACCUUACCUGGGCUUGAACUGCUGGUGGUAGAAGCCCGAAAGGGUAACGACCCGGAGCAAUCCGGGAGCCAGUAGAGGUGCUGCAUGGCUGUCGUCAGCUCGUGUCGUGAGAUGUUGGGUUAAGUCCCGCAACGAGCGCAACCCUUACCCUUAGUUGCCAGCGGGUAAUGCCGGGCACUCUAAGGGGACCGCCCCGGAUAACGGGGAGGAAGGCGGGGAUGACGUCAAGUCAGCAUGGCCUUUAUGUCCAGGGCUACACACGUGCUACAAUGGACGGUACAGAGGGAAGCAAGGCCGCAAGGUAGAGCUAAUCCCUAAAGCCGUCCUCAGUUCGGAUUGCAGGCUGCAACUCGCCUGCAUGAAGUCGGAAUCGCUAGUAAUCGCGGAUCAGCUACGCCGCG